rnacentral:lncRNA from 1 species
UCACCUGCCUACCACCCCCAGUCGGCGAGAAAUUAACAAAAGACUACAAUAUGAUGAUACAAAUAUCCUUUGUCCAACUGGCAAAACGGAGAGGAUCAGAUCAUAAUUUCCUGAACUGGUCUUUUGGGAAACUUAAACCUCUGAGUUCCUGUAGACUGAGCUCCUCAAGGAAGAACUAA